UGACCACCUGGGACGGGCGCAGGCCGUCCACCAGCACCCGGACGGGCUGGGUGUACAGGCACUGGGCGCUGGGCAGCAGCCUCAGGCGCACCAGGGAGGACAUGCUGGAAGCACGGGGUCUCUGCGGGACCUGCUGGAAUUUCGUAUCUUCGUGUCCUUUACUCCUGAUACGAGUUGGUCCCUUAUACCCACACAGACAGGGAUCUUUUUAGUGCAUAGCCUACUUGCCU